CUGGGUUAGGACCCUUACUCCGGGCUUCCAUGGCCCUCUCUGCAGCACUUGCCACCUGCAGUAAUAAUAAUAGCUGAUACUUAUUGCGUGCUCACUCCAUGUAUUUUUCUUUAUUGACCCAUUUAACCCUCACAACCACCCAGAGAGCCAGGUUCUGUGCUCGCCUCCAUUUUUCAGACGGGUAAAAGCUUAAGUAAAUUGCCCAGGGUCACCCUCCUUGGGGAUUCGCCUCCAGGGUGGCUGGCUCCAGAGAGCUCGCCUCCAAUCCUGAGAGCUCCUCCUGCCGCCCUGAGCGAAUGUGCUGGGUGGGGGGGGGUGUGGGGGGGGGGAGGAUACUCUCUAGACUCGGGGAUCCGGGAGGGCAGCACAGCUUCUGAUCCAUCGGGAUGAGCCUCGCAGCCAGCCCAGGUGCUGGCAUCGCUGGUGCCCGACGCCCGGCGCUCCUGCCUUGCUCUCGGGCGCCGCGGGGCUGUGGGGGCCCCCGGCCGACGGGGCCUCGGGCGGUCCAGCUGGGGCGGGCUUGGGGCCAGAUGGGCUGCGCGGCGGCAGCGAGGCCAGGGCGGCCGGCCGGGCCGCGCGUUGCCAUGGAGACGGGGGGCGGCGGCCCCGCCCCAGCGGACCGGGGAGCAGGUGGCGGGACGGUGCGCAGGCUGGGGGAGGGGCCGGAAGGGGCCCGCGGGGCCGGGGCGGCCGGGCGCGCCCCCGCUCCUCCGCCUCCUCCCGGCCUCCUGGCGCCCGCUGCUCCCUAGGCGACCCGGGCUCUGCCUGGUAGCUGGAGGCUGGGGCCAGGGGACCGGGCUCCAGUCCUGGCUUGGGCUCUCACUCCUCGGGCAUAUCGGGCAAAUCACCACCUCCAUCCUCCCCCUUCCAGCCUCAGUUUCCCCAACUGUGAAAUGGAGGAGUUGGACCAGGAGCUUUCUAUGGACACUUCAGCGCAUACUACUUUUUCUGGCUCUGGGUUCGGGCCGGGAGGGUUCAGGGCUGGUAAUUUCUCAUCCUCUUCCUGGAUCGCGGCAUCUUCUCAUCAAAUGAUGCCCAUCAUGGGACCCAGAACCUGGAAAUGUGAAAGGUGGAAGAGCCAGCAAAGUCUCGGAACCCAACUUCUCGAAUAUGCAGAGCAGGCAGGGGCAGCCCAGAGAAGAGACCCUCCUGGUUGUCCUGCCAGCACCAUACCUCAUGGUCUCCAUCGUGACUGCGGCACAGCUCUGUGGCUGCCCUGCAAGGAGGUGAGGAGGUUGUGGCCUCCCUCCACCGACUCCCACCCCUAGUAAGUGAGGAGCUGGGCCCUCACCCCGCAGUCUUGCCCGGGAGCUGGGCCUACCUCCGCCCCUCCCCAGCCCCCAGUCCCCUGGGAGGCCCUGCCUUCCUCAGGAAUAAAGCCCCUUUCUCCUUCCUCCAGUAGGACCCAUUUCUGAGCUCUCAAGCCUCAGCCAUGCAGGGGGUGCCUGAGAGGGCUGGGGCUGCUUCUGUCCCCUCAGGCCAAGCGGGAGUCACCCUGGCCAGGCCCAGCUCUGGUUCCCAGCUGAUGUGGUGGGAGGUGGUUCUGGCUGGGGGUGGAAGUGGAGGGGAGCAGGGCCGAGGCGGGGUCUAUGGCUUUAAGGUACAGCUUGCUCCUGGAGCGACACACACACACACACACACACACACACACACACACAGUCUCUCUUGCACAGAGUCACGCAGUCACACAGCCAAACGCACACACACGCCCAGGCUCCGUUCUCUUGCUCUCUCCGUCACCUUUUCUCCACACACAUACACAUACACACACACGCCCAGGCUCUGUUUUCUCUCUCUCUGUCACCCUUUCUACACACACACACACACAAAUAACACACACGCCGAGGCUCUGUUCUCUCUCCCUCCCUGUCCCUCUCUCCACACAGCCCUACACACUCAUUCGUGCACACAGAAGCAUCCACACUCUCUCCCUCUCUCCACAAAGUCUAGUUUCGAAAAACAUGGCCUAGGCCAGGAAGGGCAAGGAGUUCUGACCUAGAAAAUGGGCCUGCCUCCUUCUGUCGCUCCCGGCCGGAAAGGGGGCUUGUUUUCCAAUUUGGUAUCACUGCCCUGGGUCAAGGCUGUGGGGAGAAAUGAACACCCUGCGCAGGGUGGGGUCAGCCUCUUGGAGAGCGGGUGGUGGGGGCUGCUCGCCCUUCUUCCCCUGCUCACUCAAGGCAGGACUCACUUCCAGCACAAAGGAAGCAGGUUUAGGGACAAAAGUAGUUGGGUAGCUUAGUCAUAGAGGGAUGGGCCAGUUGACCUUUGACUUAUGAUGAAGGGGCCCUUGACCCUUCAUAGCUCAUUUUACCUUUAGGCAAAUCCUGGACUUGAAUUCUGCCCAAGGCUCUGGGAUGAGAAGUCCCUCCUCCUUCUUAACCCAAAUCCUGCUUAGUGUAGUUCCAUGUAGAUGCUGGGAUGCUCUCCCUGUGUCACUCCCAGUCUUCUCACCUCAAUUUCCUCUGACUAUUUAUGGGGAACUCCUAUUUAUCCUCCAAAGCCCAACUCCUAUUUAUCCUUCAAAGCCCAGUUCAAAAGUCCUCUCAAGUUGAGAGCUUUCCCUGCCUCAGUCCCUUGGACAGAAUGAGUGCCUAUUUCUCCUGGGCAUCUGGGUUCUCUGCACUUUCUGCAGUUCUAACACUUCUAUAAUUUCAUGAGCAAGUGGGUACCUGACCUCUGGAUGCUGCUUUUCUCACGUUAUUUCAUUUAUUCCUCACGCCCUCUCUGCUCCUCUGGUGGAAUAGGAUCCCCCGUCAACACACAGGAAUCCUCCGGCUCCGCUAAAUCAGCUGACAUCUGAACAGGACUGGAGCCCACAUCUACCUUGUGGUAGCUCUCGGCCUUUCGGCUGCCUCUAACUACUCUUCAUGUGCACCUUUCCCUACAGGAGACUCAGCAGAGGGGGCGGAAGCCCGCGAAAGGAGCCGAAGGGGUAGGAACUGAUGUCCCCACCGUGGCCACUCCGUCUACCCUCCUCAGUUCAGCAAAGCUUUACCGAGCACUUCUUUGUACAGACCCUGGGAUAUAGAGACUAAAUAGACACGGUGUCCUCCUCUGUGCGGACAACAGGCACAUAAGCAGGCAAGGAUGACCUAGGGCCGGGAUGCUGAGGAAGCUGGGAUCCCACAGGAAGCCUGACUCAGGACAGGGAACUGGAGAGACUGAGACAGGGCUUCCUAGCAAUGGUGACAGGGGAGCUCGGAGGAGCAGGAGUCAGCCAGGUAGAGGGGGCAUAUGGAAGGACAAUUUGGGGAUGACACUGAAAGACCUUGAGUAUCACAGAAGGAGCUUCGCCUUUAUCCCAGGGCUGAAGGAAGUCCUCAUAGGUCUUUGGCUUCACUGGCCCUACCCCCAAAUGGCUGCCAGGUCAGACAUUCUAUGUAGGGCCCUCCUGACAGCUGCUCUUGACUCUGGGGGUGUGGGAGUCCCAGAAUUCCAUCCUCAGAAUCAGAAGGAGGUUGACAAUGCCUCAGGACCAGCCCCCCACUUGGGGUUCCUUCCUCAUCCCCACGGGCGUGGAGGGCGUGGCCAAGGUGUUGCGGUGGCAUUGAAGUUUGCUAAGGGAAGUUACUCGGCAAACAGAGUUGAGUCCAUCACUAAAUGCCUGGUGAAAUUCCUACCUUCUUACGCUUUUUAAAAAAGAUAAACAGCAGCACCUAGACCGUAAAGUCAGUUUCCUAGAAAAGUGGCUGAUGUUAGAACUGAAGAGUCGAGGUGCCCCACCCAGGAUUUCUCUCAAGUCUGGUCAUUGGCAUCUCCUCCAGGAUUUCUGCAAUAUCUUUUUACCUCAUCUGCUUAGUGUUUUUCUUUAAAUUAACUCACUUUUACAAAACUUUAUUUAACAAGGAAUCUGUAUCUGUACUUUAAAUGUUUUGGCUUUCCCAAAACAGAAGGUAAAUAUAAAAAUAAGCUCAAUGAAAACAAAGCAAUUCUACCUUAGAUGAUCAGGCCUGCUAGGAGGCCUCUCUGCUAUAAGGGGAGAUUAGCAACGUCAGAGAGGUGUUAAA
ensembl:lncRNA